rnacentral:rRNA from 1 species
GACAGAGGGUGCAAACGUUGUUCGGAAUUACUGGGCGUAAAGCGUGUGUAGGCGGUCACGUAAGUCGGAUGUGAAAGCCCUGGGCUCAACCCAGGAAGUGCACUCGAUACUGCGUGGCUUGAGUACUGGAGAGGUUGGUGGAAUUCUCGGUGUAGAGGUGAAAUUCGUAGAUAUCGAGAGGAACACCGGUGGCGAAGGCAGGUCUCUGGGCCAUAACUGACGCUGAGAAGCGAAAGCAUGGGGAGCGAACAGG